GCAGGUGGCAAGCGUUGUCCGGAAUUAUUGGGCGUAAAGCGCGCGCAGGCGGUCCUUUAAGUCUGAUGUGAAAGCCCACGGCUCAACCGUGGAGGGUCAUUGGAAACUGGGGGACUUGAGUGCAGAAGAGGAGAGUGGAAUUCCACGUGUAGCGGUGAAAUGCGUAGAGAUGUGGAGGAACACCAGUGGCGAAGGCGACUCUCUGGUCUGUAACUGACGCUGAGGCGCGAAAGCGUGGGGGGAGCGAACAGGAUUAGAUACCCUGGUAGUCCACGCCGUAAACGAUGAGUGCUAAGUGUUAGAGGGUUUCCCGCCCUUUAGUGCUGCAGCUAACGCAUUAAGCACUCCGCCUGGGGAGUACGGUCGCAAGACUG
rnacentral:rRNA from 1 species